rnacentral:tRNA from 1 species
UCUAUAAAACAAGGUUUAAUUUUACAAUGAAAAUAUAAUGUUUUCAAUUUAAACUAUAUAGAUAUAGAUAUAGAAAU